UGACCAGCAGUGAGGCCUUUAGUGGAAUGAGGUCAGCUGGUCAGUGGCACUGGUCAGCAUGUGAUGUGUGAGUGUCAGAAGUGUCACAUGUCAGUCCUGUUCACCCUGUCCAUUAUGUCACUGAUCACACAGUCAGUCCAGUCUUUGUCACAAUAGACAGACAGAGUGUCCUCAUCGACUAAGUGGUCUGACAUCAGGUGAGCCCACCAUGACAGACACUCGAGUGUCGCGCUCUCCGAUGUCCAGCAGUGACCGGCGUGUCAAACAGGAAUCUGUGGAUGGGGUCCUGCAAAUCAGUCAAAGCCCCUCCAUGUGCUGAGUCCUCAGUUACAGACACAAAUCCAAGGUGGUCCCUCCGCUGUCAUCGGCUCUGACAAGUCUGUCUGGACCCUCGAGUGCAGGACACUGUCAGCCUCAUGUCCUUCACAUUGUGUCCACAUGUCACUUUGAGUGACUUGUCACCAGUCAGAGUGGCAGGAAGGCAGAAGACGCUGUCAGGUAUAUAGCGCCUUACCUUAUAAGGACAGCGGUGAUCUCAGGGUCAAAGUGCAUUUCAGUGAAGGCGUCGCAGUCAUUGAGCCCUUGUGCUGUGUGUGUCCUUCUGUCUGUCUGUCUGUCCUCACUUGUCUCUCUUCUUCUCCACAGGUUGGAGUCUUGUGGUCUCACCUCGGCCUGCUGCUCAGCUCUCUCCUCGGUCCUCUCGUCUCCAAACUCACAGCUGACUGCACUGAACCUGAUCAACAACAACCUGGGAGAUUCAGGGGCUCGUCAGCUGAUUGAGGGUCUCAGGAGUCACAACUGUAAAUUAACACACCUGUGGCUGCAGUACAACAGGAUCAGUCAGAGUAAGAAGACGUACCUGAGGUCACUACAGGUGGAGCUGAGGAGGUCUGGACGUCAGGUGGAUAUCUACAUAUGAAAAGACCAGCAGUGGUGAUGAGACUGACCCCCUGUCAGUGAUGAAGCCCCCCGUCCACUCUCCCCUAAAUUCUCCUCUUUCUUCUUUUUCUUCUCCUCUCAGCUCUGCUCCUCAUUUAAUAAACUCUCCGUGUCCCCUCA